GAUGAACGCUGGCGGCGUGCCUAAUACAUGCAAGUCGAGCGAACAGACGAGGAGCUUGCUCCUCUGACGUUAGCGGCGGACGGGUGAGUAACACGUGGAUAACCUACCUAUAAGACUGGGAUAACUUCGGGAAGCCGGAGCUAAUACCGGAUAAUAUAUUGAACCGCAUGGUUCAAUAGUGAAAGACGGUUUUGCUGUCACUUAUAGAUGGAUCCGCGCCGGAUUAGCUAGUUGGUAAGGUAACGGCUUACCAAGGCGACGAUGCGUAGCCGACCUGAGAGGGUGAUCAGCCACACUGGAACUGAGACACGGUCCAGACUCCUACGGGAGGCAGCAGUAGGGAAUCUUGCGCAAUGGGCGAAAGCCUGACGGAGCAACGCCGCGUGAGUGAUGAAGGUCUUCGGAUCGUAAAGCUCUGUUAUUAGGGAAGAACAAAUGUGUAAGUAACUAUGCACGUCUUGACGGUACCUAAUCAGAAAGCCACGGCUAACUACGUG
rnacentral:rRNA from 1 species